rnacentral:rRNA from 1 species
UACAGAGGGUGCAAGCGUUAAUCGGAAUUACUGGGCGUAAAGCGUGCGUAGACGGUUGCGUAAGUCAGAUGUGAAAGCCCCGGGCUCAACCUGGGAAUUGCAUUUGAGACUGCGUAGCUAGGGUGCGGCAGAGGGAAGCGGAAUUUCCGGUGUAGCGGUGAAAUGCGUAGAUAUCGGAAGGAACACCAGUGGCGAAAGCGGCUUCCUGGUCCAGCACCGACGUUCAGGCACGAAAGCGUGGGGAGCAAACAGG